ACGAACGCUGGCGGCGUGCUUAACACAUGCAAGUCGAACGGAAAGACCCUGCUUUUGUGGGGUGCUCGAGUGGCGAACGGGUGAGUAACACGUGAGUAACCUGCCCUUGACUUUGGGAUAACUUCAGGAAACUGGGGCUAAUACCGGAUAGGAGCUCCUGCUGCAUGGUGGGGGUUGGAAAGUUUCGGCGGUUGGGGAUGGACUCGCGGCUUAUCAGCUUGAUGGUGGGGUAGUGGCUUACCAAGGCUUUGACGGGUAGCCGGCCUGAGAGGGUGACCGGCCACAUUGGGACUGAGAUACGGCCCAGACUCCUACGGGAGGCAGCAGUGGGGAAUAUUGCACAAUGGGCGGAAGCCUGAUGCAGCAACGCCGCGUGCGGGAUGACGGCCUUCGGGUUGUAAACCGCUUUCGCCUGUGACGAAGCGUGAGUGACGGUAAUGGGUAAAGAAGCACCGGCUAACUACGUG
rnacentral:rRNA from 1 species